UACAGAGGGUGCGAGCGUUGUUCGGAAUUAUUGGGCGUAAAGGGCGCGUAGGCGGCGCCACAAGUCACUUGUGAAAACUCUGGGCUCAACUCAGAGCCUGCAAGCGAAACUGUGGUGCUGGAGUAUGGGAGAGGUGCGUGGAAUUCCCGGUGUAGCGGUGAAAUGCGUAGAUAUCGAGAGGAACACCGGCGGCGAAGGCGAGUCCCUGGUCCGCAUCUGACGCUGAGGCGCGAAAGCGUGGGUAGCAAACAGG
rnacentral:rRNA from 1 species